rnacentral:rRNA from 1 species
GACGAACGCUGGCGGCGUGCCUAAUACAUGCAAGUUGAGCGCUGAAGGUUGGUACUUGUACCAACUGGAUGAGCAGCGAACGGGUGAGUAACGCGUGGGGAAUCUGCCUUUGAGCGGGGGACAACAUUUGGAAACGAAUGCUAAUACCGCAUAAAAACUUUAAACACAAGUUUUAAGUUUGAAAGAUGCAAUUGCAUCACUCAAAGAUGAUCCCGCGUUGUAUUAGCUAGUUGGUGAGGUAAAGGCUCACCAAGGCGAUGAUACAUAGCCGACCUGAGAGGGUGAUCGGCCACAUUGGGACUGAGACACGGCCCAAGCUCCUACGGGAGGCAGCAGUAGGGAAUCUUCGGCAAUGGACGAAAGUCUGACCGAGCAACGCCGCGGGAGUGAAGAAGGUUUUCGGAUCGUAAAACUCUGUUGGUAGAGAAGAACGUUGGUGAGAGUGGAAAGCUCAUCAAGUGACGGUAACUACCCAGAAAGGGACGGCUAACUACGUG